UUAAUAAAUGUUCACCACAGAAAAAUGUUACGAACAAAUAAGCAACCAUGCCGAAUAGUGGGGUCCAGAUUAUACUCAUUCACAGCCAUAUUGACAUUUUUGCCAUCAUAACGAAGAUUUUUGCAAGGCAAUUUGAGUUUAUUUCAUGGUUAAUUGCUUUACGAUGGUUUAUUUAGUAUUUCCCUUGAGACGAUAAAUAACAAAUGGGGUUGGGAUUUUAUUCCAAUAAAAGUACGGAAUAACUAAACAUGGCCUCGUUAAUACUGCUGCGUAAUGGGUCAGGUGCUGUUCCAAUUUUAUGAUUUAAGAGAUGUAAAAACGAUACACGAUGCUGUGAAGUACUCAAAUGUAUUUAUGAACUUAGUUGGUCGUGAAUUCGAGACAAAAUUGUAAAUUCAAUGACGUGCUUGUGGAAGGUGCACGUCGCAUUGCUAGAAUCAGCAAAGAAGCUGGUGUAGAACGUUUGAUAAUUUGUGUGCUUUAAACGCUAGCCCCUGGACAACCUAUUGGUGAGCUGCAUACGGAACGUAUCGAUCGCGAAUGUAUUACCGAUGUAGUUCCCUCCGACAUACCGUGGUUGAAGAAUUUUGGUGUACAAUUGACCUCCAUGGAAGAGAAAGUACCAUGGGAAUUGUGACCAUAUCGUGCUGCGCAAUAUUAUGAUGCCGAAUUGGGAGAGUGGGGAGAACCAGCUCCACCAAAACCGAUAGAACGUCGGGAAGAACUACGCAAAUAAUAAACAACACUCAUCAAAUGAAAGUUGGCAGCGUUGGUGACCAAGCAGCGAUUUGAAAAAGAAACAUUUGCAUCUACGCGAAUUACAAUUCGUCUUUACAUCUAGUGAAUUAUGGUCGAUUAUGAAUGGUGUGGAAGUUGAUAUUUAAACUUAAAAAAAAAA